CUGUUAAAAAGGCCUUGUAAGACAGAAUGUUUGCUGAACAGGUGUUUAGAAUAAAAGAUGGGUUACCUCAGACUAAGCACGAACACUCUCAGACCAACCCAUCCACCGUCACACACCCUGUUCCCCCUUUGAGGAGCCAGACACCAUUACCCUGCCAUGAUCACCCUACUGCCCCACUGUACUGGGCUAAAAGGCACCAUCCUCCCAAAAAUAAUCCCCCGCACUGCCUUACCCAGCACCUUUCAGCAUCACCGAGGGGCUCAGGCCUCCCACCCCCAUAUCUUCUCCCCAGAACUGCUGCCCAAACCAGUGUAAGGCCCAAGCCUUUGAUGCUGUAAGAUGCUGAGUAAUUUUGCUGUAACUGCCAGCCCUUUCUCAGGCCUGUUUCUCUUGGAAUCAGCCUGGAUGCAUCUGUGAAGGGAGGGGAUGGGGCUUUGUCCUUGGCACAGUGUGUUAAAUCCAUGGUGUGGCUCCCUUGCCUGCUGGGGAGCAGGGAAGGCUCAGGUUGUUGUGUCAGAUAGAUGGAUUCUGCUGCUUCUCUCCCUGGUGUUUUUUCCAUAACCCUCCAACUUCUCCUUUACAACUGCUGAUUUUGGUAGGAGGGAGAUUGUUGGUCUCACAUGCUUAAAACCAUCAGCCACCUCUCUGGGAAGAGAAAUCUCAUAAUUCAAAUUCUCACCUAACCUUUGUCUUCUAAACAACCCUACAUAACUAUUUACUUGUUUCACAAGGAAAAUGGGAGAUGGGGGAUUUUGGGCUGUUCCUUGGCUUUGCCAGCAAACAGUUGCAUCUUUUAUAAUUUACUUGUUGGUUUUUUUUUCCCUUCCCCUUCCUAACAUUCACACACCGUAACACACACAGGCCACGGCACAGCACCAGGAGCUGCACCUCCCUGCCACCAUCAGCCAGGUGGGCAUUUCACUUGUCCUGCCUCAAGACCUCCAAGGCAGGAUACUCCCAUAAAAGGCUCUAAUCGCUCUAGGACCGGCCGCCGGGGGUAUUUAGUGGCACUUGGUUUCAGAUAACACCUAACCAUUACAAUUGUUGACAUUUGCACCGUCUGCCUUAGGGCAGCGCAGGGGACUAGUCGGUGUCCCUAUAACCGUGUGAAACGGGGCAGUCCAGUGCCACCAGGGCAGCCUGGCUGCUCGGGCAGUGGAGCUGCUCCUCUGCUCCCACAGCACAUUCCCGAAUCCCUGCUCUUCCCAGUGGAGCAUUCAGUUCCCCUCUGAUCCGUGCCUUCACAGAAGAUGCAUUAUCCCCCAUUCCAACAAACCAACCCACACUUUUUGAUAUUAAUAACCCAUCAUCAGCUGAUGAUGUCCCUGCAGGGUUAAAAAGUGAAAAAUGAAAGCAUCAUUAGGCUGACUUAUGCUCCCUGCUAAAUAGGUCGUGACACCAAUCAUACCUGAGAGGAGUUUUAGAAGGGCUUUUGGCAACCCUCAGCAAGUGAGUUGCUGGGUCACACUAAUUGGUGCAAGACAAAUCUGGUUCUCCCACGAGUUUGUUCACUUGCUUGCUAUGAGAACAACAAUAAAAAACCACCUGCAAAUCUAAAGAAACUUUAAAAUGUAGCAUUUUUAAUCCCACACAAUUUUCUGUAAGUCUCCUAAAAUCUACAGGCAUCAUUUUAAAAAAUAAAAAUAUCCCCGAACAGAACAGUGUGGAUUUUAACUCGAGCUUGGACUCAUUACCACAUCCUUAUGUUGCUGAGCACUCCAAGGCUCUGGCCUCCCAACCAACCAACUCAUAGCACAGACAGCAAAGGUGAUGGAUCCAUCCCAUUUUAGAGCUCAGGUUUUCAUCUCAGUGGUUCCUCUGUUACAGGUCACCUGUGGUAACAGAACACAUUCUCAGACAGACAGACAUGUUUCUGCCUGUUUUUGUAAGCCUGAGAACAAACUUAAACUUUAGGGGGAAAAAAAUAGCCAUUUAUCUAAGAGAUUCCAGGUAGUACAUGAUUGAUUGCAAAUGGGCACCUCCAGCUCACCAAACACCUUCAUGCCCCCAGCUUGUCCACAUCUUAUAUGAGCCCAAGGGGGUUCCCCCUUAAACCACUUUUUUUUUUUUUCUUCUGCUUGUUUUGCCUUUUAUAAAAAUUGGUUAUGUCAAACCUUUUUGUUUUAUCCAAGAACUUCUAUGACUGAGACAUGUGCCAGGCGGUCUCAAACCUCACCAACUUGAAUACAGCAUCCACUUCUCAGUAGCAAACAUCUUGCCAAGUAUCAACUAAUUUUUUGGUGUGUAUGAAAAACACUUUUAUUCUUGAUCAGUAUUUGCUUCCUUGGUUGCUGGCUUCCUGGGAAGCUUCUAUUCUCAAACAGAGACUCAACAGCAAAGCAUCCAGACUCAAAUUUACGAAAUAAAAAGCAAACAGGACAAAAAAAAAAAAAAAAAAAAAA
ensembl:lncRNA